GAUUUGGCACUUUUAUUGCUUCAGUUAUUAAACCCAAACAUAGAAAAGCAUAAAGCAAACAUUUCAACGAUUACGUGACGUUGCAACAGAAAUUGAAAAAUUAUUUGCAUUUAAAAAACAACAAUCAAAAGCAAGCACAACAAAAACAACGCAACGCAAUCAAAGUGAAUGCAAAUGCAGAAGCAGCAGCAGCAACAACAACAACAACAACAUUGCCAUGCGCGAAAAUGCAAAUUUAUACGUUCGCGUUCGUGGAAUUGUUGAAUUUCCGAAUUUGAUUUUUGCAAACCCAUCGACGAUGUUUGACGAAUUGAGUUGUUAGUAUCGGUCAAUCGGUGUGUUUGGAGCGCGUAAAAAGUGAUUUAAACAUUAUUCGUUGCAAACGAACGUACAUAUAAUUCAUACAUACAUACAUACAUACAUGCAAAACAUAUCGACCGUGCUACAUUUGUUGUUGUUAUUUAUAGCUUUACUGCUAAAAAAUGGUUUAAUCCUCCUGCUUUAUGCAGCAUGCAAGUGUUGAAAACUAUUUGAAGCAUUCUCGAACUCGCGACUGAUAUUUUCAAAUCGGACGUGAUCAAAAAUACCAGUUAGCAACACUUGUAAGCCUUGAAGUAGAUAUAACAACAACAAAAACAACAAAAA
rnacentral:lncRNA from 1 species